AUGGAUCAAUGGGGGGGGGGUGGCCGCGGUGGCCCUGGAGGUGUUAAAAAGGUGGGUCCCAGGGAGUGUUUGAAGUGGGACAGCAGGAGCAGGAAGAAGGGAGAGGGCAUUUUCACAAUAGCUGGGUGGCCCCCUGGGACACAGGCCACCAGCGCUCCAGCUAAAUUUCCAUAUCCGCUUUCAGCCCCAGGAAUUAAUGGAGGACUUCGUGGGGUUCCUCCCCCUGGAUGCAUUCCCACGGCGGUUAAUUGUUGCUGUCCGGCUGGGUGGCCGAUGGCGCUAGUGAAAAGGGUCUACGGUGCAGUCCCAGAAGGUCACAUGAUGGCGACGAGAGCAAGCGAGGGGAGAGGCCCCAGCGGAUGCCGCCGCACUCCCGGCCACCAGGCGCGCGUGGGGGCCGUUGGUCUGACAGCUGCUGAGGGCUUCGGCUGCCUGAAAAGCCAUUUGCUCUGGCCUGCCCUGUCUGGCCAACUUCUAUGUAUUUAAAGGAUCCUCGCUGGUCUCUGAGCACCGCCCCCCCAUCUCCAUCUGAAUGGUCAGGCGCAGCGACCCUCUCUGGGAGGGCCAGGAGCCUCCCCGGAGACCUUCAGUCCCUCAUCUGCCUCCCCACGGCUGUCGUAACCUGCACAGUAGUGGAGAUCGGCUGGCAAUUCCUAAAUUAAGGUUCUGUUUACUCUGCUGUUCCAAAGGCUUGUUUUGAGCAAGAUGUUGUGCUUUAAUUAAAAAGACGAGAGAGCUCAUGAGUAAGUGAAAAUAUUUUUGAAUCUUCACAGAAAUGUCUGAAUUGGGUUUCUUGUGUUUCACAGUGAGGGGGGGUCAGGCUGGUCAGCACUUUUAUCUGGGGGACCACUGAAAACUCGUGCUAUAAGCUGACAACGGGCUCUUCUGCACAGUAGACUUGGGGGGGUACCCUAAGUCAAAAAUGCGUCCCUGCUGCUUCGGCAGGGUUAGCCGGCAUCCACGUGUAGUGAGGACACAUUCCUCCUUUACCUUCCCAGCCAGAGGCUUCC
rnacentral:lncRNA from 1 species